CCUACGGGUGGCUGCAGUGGGGAAUAUUGGACAAUGGGGGGAACCCUGAUCCAGCCAUGCCGCGUGUGUGAAGAAGGCCCUCGGGUUGUAAAGCACUUUCAGUGAGGAAGAACGCCUGGUGGUUAAUACCCAUCAGGAAAGACAUCACUCACAGAAGAAGCACCGGCUAACUCCGUGCCAGCAGCCGCGGUAAUACGGAGGGUGCGAGCGUUAAUCGGAAUUACUGGGCCUAAAGCGCGCGUAGGUGGCUUGAUAAGCCGGUUGUGAAAGCCCCGGGCUCAACCUGGGAACGGCAUCCGGAACUGUCAAGCUAGAGUGCAGGAGAGGAAGGUAGAAUUCCCGGUGUAGCGGUGAAAUGCGUAGAGAUCGGGAGGAAUACCAGUGGCGAAGGCGGCCUUCUGGACUGACACUGACACUGAGGUGCGAAAGCGUGGGUAGCAAACAGGAUUAGAUACCCUAGUAGUC
rnacentral:rRNA from 1 species